GUGUCAGCAGCCGCGGUAAUACGGAGGGUGCAAGCGUUGUCCGGAAUCAUUGGGUGUAAAGGGUGCGUAGGCGGGUUUUUAAGUCUGGGGUGAAAUGGUGCGGCUCAACCGUAGCACUGCCCUGGAUACUGGAGAUCUUGAGUAUAACAUAGGCCGGUAGAAUUCGUGGUGUAGCGGUGAAAUGCAUAGAUAUCACGAAGAAUACCAGUGGCGUAGGCGGCCGGCUGGGUUAUAACUGACGCUGAGGCACGAGAGCGUGGGGAGCAAACAGGAUUAGAUACCCUGGUAGUCCACGCCGUAAACGAUGUAUACUAGGUGUUGGGCGGGUUUAGACUCGUUCAGUGCUGCAGCUAACGCAUUAAGUAUACCACCUGGGGAGUACGUUCGCAAGAAUGAA
rnacentral:rRNA from 1 species